rnacentral:tRNA from 1 species
GGGCACGUGGCGGAAUUGGUAUACGCGUACGUCUCAGAAGCGUAUGGGGAAACCCAUGGGAGUUCAAGUCUCCCCGUGCCCA